rnacentral:lncRNA from 1 species
UCAUCAUCAUCUGACAGUGAAGAUGAUGAGAAGAAGAAGAAGAAGAAAGCAAAGAAUUCAUCAUCGAGUAGCUCUUCAUCAUCUUCUGACAGUGAAGAUGAAGAUAAGAAGAAGAAGAAGAAGAAGAAGAAGAAAGUAAAGGAUUCAAGCAGCUCAUCAUCAUCAUCAUCAUCAUCUGACAGUGAGGAUGACAAGAAAAAAAAGAAGAAGAAGAAGAAGAAGAAGAAGAAGAAAGUAAAGGUGAGAUUUACAGUAUUCAUGUUUAUUGUGGGGCGACACUGUGGCUCAUUGGUUAGCACUGUGGCCUUACAGCAAGAAGGUUGCUGGUUCGAGUCUCGACAGGGUCAGUUGGCAAUUCUGUGUGGAGUUUGCACAGAGUUGUCUCUCUGUUGGCGUGGGUUUCCUCCGGGUGCUUCGGUUUCCCCCACAGUCCAAACACAUGCGCUAUAGGGGAAUUGAUGAACUGAAUUGGGCGUAGUGUAUGAGUGUGUAUGGGUGUGUCCAAGUUCUGGGUUGCUGCUGGAAAGGUAUCUACUGUGUAAAACUUGUUUGAACAGUUUCGCUGUGGUGACCCCUGAUAAAAAAAAAAGUGACUCAGCUGAAGAAAAAUGAAUGAAUGAGUGUUUGUUGCG